rnacentral:rRNA from 1 species
UGGGGAAUUUUGGACAAUGGGCGAAAGCCUGAUCCAGCAAUGCCGCGUGUGUGAAGAAGGCCUUCGGGUUGUAAAGCACUUUUGUCCGGAAAGAAAUCCUUGGCUCUAAUACAGUCGGGGGAUGACGGUACCGGAAGAAUAAGCACCGGCUAACUACGUGCCAGCAGCCGCGGUAAUACGUAGGGUGCAAGCGUUAAUCGGAAUUACUGGGCGUAAAGCGUGCGCAGGCGGUUUGCUAAGACCGAUGUGAAAUCCCCGGGCUCAACCUGGGAACUGCAUUGGUGACUGGCAGGCUAGAGUAUGGCAGAGGGGGGUAGAAUUCCACGUGUAGCAGUGAAAUGCGUAGAGAUGUGGAGGAAUACCGAUGGCGAAGGCAGCCCCCUGGGCCAAUACUGACGCUCAUGCACGAAAGCGUGGGGAGCAAACAGGAUUAGAUACCCUGGUAGUCCACGCCCUAAACGAUGUCAACUAGUUGUUGGGGAUUCAUUUCCUUAGUAACGUAGCUAACGCGUGAAGUUGACCGCCUGGGGAGUACGGUCGCAAGAUUAAAACUCAAAUGAAUUGGCGGGGUCAU